rnacentral:rRNA from 1 species
AUUGAACGCUGGCGGCAUGCCCUACACAUGCAAGUCGAACGGCAGCACGGACUUCGGUCUGGUGGCGAGUGGCGAACGGGUGAGUAAUAUAUCGGAACAUACCCAGUAGUGGGGGAUAACUAUCCGAAAGGAUAGCUAAUACCGCAUACGAUCUGUGGAUGAAAGCAGGGGAUCUUCGGACCUUGUGCUAUUGGAAUGGCCGAUAUCUGAUUAGCUAGUUGGUAGGGUAAAAGCCUACCAAGGCGACGAUCAGUAGCUGGUCUGAGAGGACGACCAGCCACACUGGAACUGAGACACGGUCCAGACUCCUACGGGAGGCAGCAGUGGGGAAUUUUGGACAAUGGGGGCAACCCUGAUCCAGCAAUGCCGCGUGAGUGAAGAAGGCCCUCGGGUUGUAAAGCUCUUUUGUCAGGGAAGAAACGGAGUUCUCUAAUAUAGGAUUCUAAUGACGGUACCUGAAGAAUAAGCACCGGCUAACUACGUGCCAGCAGCCGCGGUAAUACGUAGGGUGCAAGCGUUAAUCGGAAUUACUGGGCGUAAAGCGUGCGCAGGCGGUUUUGUAAGUCUGAUGUGAAAUCCCCGGGCUCAACCUGGGAACUGCAUUGGAGACUGCAAGGCCAGAGUGUGUCAGAGGGGGGUAGAAUUCCACGUGUAGCAGUGAAAUGCGUAGAGAUGUGGAGGAAUACCGAUGGCGAAGGCAGCCCCCUGGGAUAACACUGACGCUCAUGCACGAAAGCGUGGGGAGCAAACAGGAUUAGAUACCCUGGUAGUCCACGCCCUAAACGAUGUCUACUAGUUGUCGGGACUUAAUUGUCUUGGUAACGCAGCUAACGCGUGAAGUAGACCGCCUGGGGAGUACGGUCGCA